UACACUCCUACGGGAGGCAGCAGUGGGGAAUAUUGGACAAUGGGCGCAAGCCUGAUCCAGCCAUGCCGCGUGAGUGAUGAAGGCCCUAGGGUUGUAAAGCUCUUUCACCGGUGAAGAUAAUGACGGUAACCGGAGAAGAAGCCCCGGCUAACUUCGUGCCAGCAGCCGCGGUAAUACGAAGGGGGCUAGCGUUGUUCGGAUUUACUGGGCGUAAAGCGCACGUAGGCGGACUAUUAAGUCAGGGGUGAAAUCCCGGGGCUCAACCCCGGAACUGCCUUUGAUACUGGUAGUCUUGAGUUCGAGAGAGGUGAGUGGAAUUCCGAGUGUAGAGGUGAAAUUCGUAGAUAUUCGGAGGAACACCAGUGGCGAAGGCGGCUCACUGGCUCGAUACUGACGCUGAGGUGCGAAAGCGUGGGGAGCAAACAGGAUUAGAUACCCUUGUAGUCCC
rnacentral:rRNA from 1 species